CAGUGUGUCAGCCCUGAUGCAAAUUUUGACCCUGUUGUUUAAGAACAGAGGGUUCAAUAUUUGCAUCAGGGCUGACACACAG